AUUGAACGCUGGCGGCAGGCCUAACACAUGCAAGUCGAACGAGUGGCGGACGGGUGAGUAAUGUCUGGGAAACUGCCCGAUGGAGGGGAUAACUACUGGACACGGUAGCUAAUACCGCAUACCAUCGGAUGUGCCCAGAUGGGAGUAUCUAGUAGGUAGGGUAACGGCUCAACUAAGCGACGAUCCCUAGCUGGUCUGAGAGGAUGACCAGCCACACUGGAACUGAGACACGGUCCAGACUCCUACGGGAGGCAGCAGUGGGGAAUAGUGCACAAUGGGCGCAAGCCUGAUGCAGCCAUGCCGCGUGUAUGAAGAAGGCCUUCGGGUUGUAAAGUACUUUCAGCGAGGAGGCGUUACUCGCAGAAGAAGCACCGGCUAACUCCGUGCCAGCAGCCGCGGUAAUAC
rnacentral:rRNA from 1 species